rnacentral:rRNA from 1 species
AUGUUGCCAGACAGGAAGGAGUGGAACGUUGCCCUGAUUCAACAACUUUUUCAGCCUUUUGAUGCUGAGGAGAUAUGCAAGCUCAGAAUCCCUACCUCUUCGGUGGGCGACUGCAUAGCAUGGCAUCAUGAGAAAAAUGGCGUCUUUACAGUGAAGUCUGCCUACAAGCUGGCCGCUUCUUGCUUUGGGCGAGUGUCCCAACUCCCAUCAAGCUCGUCCAGUACACCAAAUGACCGCAGCAUUUUGGACCUCAUUUGGAAAGCGAAGGUCCCGGGCAAGGUCCGCAUUUUUGGUUGGAGGAUUGCCACCAAAACUCUUGCCACAAAAAAGAACAAAUGGAGGCGCACUCUUGAGCUGGAUGACACCUGCAACAUUUGUGGUAAUGGAGUGGAGGACGAACACCAUGCGGUUAUCAUGUGCACAAAGAGCAGAGCUCUACGUGCUGAGAUGAGAGAAGUCUGGUCCCUUCCGGAGGAAAGCAAGCUGUGGUACACGGGGGAUGAUUGGCUCCAACUUGCACUGAGUACGGGUGAUGAGGAGAUGCGCUCGAGGUUAUUGCUCCUCCUCUGGCGCUGUUGGCAUCUGCGCGAGGACUGCAUUCGGAAGAAUGGGAGGGAAUCA